rnacentral:tRNA from 1 species
GGCGGAUGUAUCCAAGUGGAUC